rnacentral:misc_RNA from 1 species
AAACCACCUUUACCCAACUUCCUCUCUACUUUAUAUACAGGGGAAUUACCUACCUGAACCCGUUCGGGAACAGGAGCUGCAGCUUCGUCGUCAGCUCCCAAUAUCUUUUCUCCGCUACCUCCCUCCAUCACCAAAUCCCUAUCGGCGACACCCUCUGCAGCCUCGUUCAAAGCAAAGUCUUGGGCACCCUCAACGGCAACUUCACGCAAGAUUUCAGCAGGCUGAUCAGGGUCUAAAUCAAUAAGCCGAAUACCUCUUCCUCUGCCACCAACUGCAGGCCUAGAAGGUUUUGUUGCUACUGCUGCUUUUAUUAGUGCUCCAGCAUUAGAAGUCCUUCCUCUUCCUGCACCAAUCCGCCUACCUGUUCUGUUCGGCGCAGGCAGGACCCAAUUCUCAGGUUGUUCAAAUGGUUGUGGCGGGAGGGGAAUGUCAUCAAGCUUCUUGGAUUUCAACCGAGCUUGCCGGGCUCCACUUCUCAACUGUGGCAUCCUCUCCCCAUGCAAAUCACGUUGAACUAUAUUCCUGGAAAUCCCUUCCGAUGAUCGUGCGAUGAUGUUGCGGCAGCGAUGGGCGGCAUUACACGGGCGGCGCCACCUCGUGCGGCGGAGACCGUUGCAUGUGAGGGCGGAGGGGAAAAUGUGUGUGUUGUCCUCUGAG